CUGACGCAGCAACGCCGCGUGCGGGAUGACGGCCUUCGGGUUGUAAACCGCUUUCAGCAGGGACGAAGCCGAAAGUGACGUGUACCGUGCCUAAGAAGCACCGCGCCAAGCUACAGCUGCCAUGCACGACCGCGGUGAUACGUACGGUGCAGAGCGUAUGUCCUGGAAUUAUUGGGCGUAAAGAGCUCAGUAGGCGGUUUGUCGCGUCCGAAGUGAAAACUCAUUGCUUAACACUGAUCCUGCUUCCGAUACGGGCAGACUAGAGGAAGGUGGGGGAGAAUGGAAUUCCUGGUGGAGCGGAGGAAUGAACAGAUAUCAUGACGAACACAACUGGCGAAGGCAGUUCUCUGGACCUUUCCUGACCCUAAGGAGAGAAAGCGUGGGGAGCAAACAGGCUUAGAUACCCUGGCUAGGCCACUCCAUAAACGGUGGGUACUAAGUGUGGGGACCAUUCCACUGCCUCCGUGCCGUACCUAACGCAUUAAAUACCCCGCCUGGGGAGUACAGCCGCAAGGCUAAGACUCAAAGGAAU
rnacentral:rRNA from 1 species